GACGAACGCUGGCGGCGUGCUUAACACAUGCAAGUCGAACGGAAAGGCCCCAGCUUGCUGGAGUACUCGAGUGGCGAACGGGUGAGUAACACGUGGGUAAUCUGCCCUUCACUCUGGGAUAAGCCUGGGAAACUGGGUCUAAUACUGGAUAUGACCUUUCUCCUUAUGGGGUGUGGUGGAAAGUUUUUCGGUGUAGGAUGAGCCCGCGGCCUAUCAGCUUGUUGGUGGGGUGAUGGCCUACCAAGGCCACGACGGGUAGCCGGCCUGAGAGGGUGAUCGGCCACAUGGGGACGGGGAAACGGCCCAGACUCCUACGGGAGGAAGAGGUGGGGAAUAUUGCACAAGGGGCGGAAGCCUGAUGCAGCGACGCCGGGUGAGGGAGGACGGCCUUCGGGUUGUAAACCUCUUUCAGCAGGGACGAAGCGUAAGUGACGGUACCUGUAGAAGAAGCACCGGCUAACUAUGU
rnacentral:rRNA from 1 species